rnacentral:tRNA from 1 species
GGAGUGUAACGGAUAACACAUGAGAUUCCGGUUCUCACGAUGGGGGUUCGAUUCCCUCC